AGUGGCGAACUGGUGAGUAACACGUGGGUAACCCUUCCUUGAAGUAGGGGAUAACACUUGGAAACAGGUGCUAAUACCGUAUAACAACCAAAACCACCUGGUUUUGGUUUACCAGAUGGCUUCGGCUAUCACUUUAGGAUGGACCCGCGGCGUAUUAGCUUGUUGGUAAGGUAACGGCCUACCAAGGCAAUGAUACGUAGCCGACCUGAGAGGGUAAUCGGCCACAUUGGGACUGAGACACGGCCCAAACUCCUACGGGAGGCAGCAGUAGGGAAUCUUCCACAAUGGACGAAAGUCUGAUGGAGCAACGCCGCGUGAGUGAUGAAGGGUUUCGGCUCGUAAAACUCUGUUGUUGGAGAAGAACAGGUGUGAGAGUAACUGUUCACAUCAUGACGGUAUCCAACCAGAAAGCCACGGCUAACUACGUGCCAGCAGCCGCGGUAAUACGUAGGUGGCAAGCGUUGUCCGGAUUUAUUGGGCGUAAAGCGAGCGCAGGCGGUUUCUUAGGUCUGAUGUGAAAGCCUUCGGCUUAACCGGAGAAGUGCAUCGGAAACCAGGAGACUUGAGUGCAGAAGAGGACAGUGGAACUCCAUGUGUAGCGGUGAAAUGCGUAGAUAUAUGGAAGAACACCAGUGGCGAAGGCGGCUGUCUGGUCUGUAACUGACGCUGAGGCUCGAAAGCAUGGGUAGCGAACAAGGAUUAGAUACCCUGGUAGUCCAUGCCGUAAACGAUGAGUGCUAAGUGUUG
rnacentral:rRNA from 1 species